UUAAGCGACUAAGCGUACACGGUGGAUGCCCUGGCAGUCAGAGGCGAUGAAGGACGUGCUAAUCUGCGAAAAGCGUCGGUAAGGUGAUAUGAACCGUUAUAACCGGCGAUGUCCGAAUGGGGAAACCCAGUGCAAUUCGUUGCACUAUCGUUAACUGAAUACAUAGGUUAACGAGGCGAACCGGGGGAACUGAAACAUCUAAGUACCCCGAGGAAAAGAAAUCAACCGAGAUUCCCCCAGUAGCGGCGAGCGAACGGGGAGCAGCCCAGAGUCUGAAUCAGCUUGUGUGUUAGUGGAACGGUCUGGAAAGUCCGACGGUACAGGGUGAUAGUCCCGUACACCAAAAUGCACAGGUUGUGAACUCGAAGAGUAGGGCGGGACACGUGGUAUCCUGUCUGAAUAUGGGGGGACCAUCCUCCAAGGCUAAAUACUCCUGACUGACCGAUAGUGAACCAGUACCGUGAGGGAAAGGCGAAAAGAACCCCGGCGAGGGGAGUGAAAAAGAACCUGAAACCGUGUACGUACAAGCAGUGGGAGCACCUUCGGGUGUGACUGCGUACCUUUUGUAUAAUGGGUCAGCGACUUAUAUUCUGUAGCAAGGUUAACCGUAUAGGGGAGCCGCAGGGAAACCGAGUCUUAACUGGGCGUUAAGUUGCAGGGUAUAGACCCGAAACCCGGUGAUCUAGCCAUGGGCAGGUUGAAGGUUGGGUAACACUAACUGGAGGACCGAACCGACUAAUGUUGAAAAAUUAGCGGAUGACUUGUGGCUGGGGGUGAAAGGCCAAUCAAACCGGGAGAUAGCUGGUUCUCCCCGAAAGCUAUUUAGGUAGCGCCUCGUGAAUUCAUCUUCGGGGGUAGAGCACUGUUUCGGCUAGGGGGUCAUCCCGACUUACCAACCCGAUGCAAACUACGAAUACCGAAGAAUGUUAUCACGGGAGACACACGGCGGGUGCUAACGUCCGUCGUGAAGAGGGAAACAACCCAGACCGCCAGCUAAGGUCCCAAAGUCAUGGUUAAGUGGGAAACGAUGUGGGAAGGCACAGACAGCCAGGAUGUUGGCUUAGAAGCAGCCAUCAUUUAAAGAAAGCGUAAUAGCUCACUGGUCGAGUCGGCCUGCGCGGAAGAUGUAACGGGGCUAAACCAUGCACCGAAGCUGCGGCAGCGACACUAUGUGUUGUUGGGUAGGGGAGCGUUCUGUAAGCCUGCGAAGGUGUGCUGUGAGGCAUGCUGGAGGUAUCAGAAGUGCGAAUGCUGACAUAAGUAACGAUAAAGCGGGUGAAAAGCCCGCUCGCCGGAAGACCAAGGGUUCCUGUCCAACGUUAAUCGGGGCAGGGUGAGUCGACCCCUAAGGCGAGGCCGAAAGGCGUAGUCGAUGGGAAACAGGUUAAUAUUCCUGUACUUGGUGUUACUGCGAAGGGGGGACGGAGAAGGCUAUGUUAGCCGGGCGACGGUUGUCCCGGUUUAAGCAUGUAGGCUGGUUGUCCAGGCAAAUCCGGAUAAUCAAGGCUGAGGUGUGAUGACGAGGCACUACGGUGCUGAAGUAACAAAUGCCCUGCUUCCAGGAAAAGCCUCUAAGCAUCAGGUAACAUCAAAUCGUACCCCAAACCGACACAGGUGGUCAGGUAGAGAAUACCAAGGCGCUUGAGAGAACUCGGGUGAAGGAACUAGGCAAAAUGGUGCCGUAACUUCGGGAGAAGGCACGCUGGUGUGUAGGUGAAGUCCCUGCGGAUGGAGCUGAGACCAGUCGAAGAUACCAGCUGGCUGCAACUGUUUAUUAAAAACACAGCACUGUGCAAACACGAAAGUGGACGUAUACGGUGUGACGCCUGCCCGGUGCCGGAAGGUUAAUUGAUGGGGUUAUCCGUAAGGAGAAGCUCUUGAUCGAAGCCCCGGUAAACGGCGGCCGUAACUAUAACGGUCCUAAGGUAGCGAAAUUCCUUGUCGGGUAAGUUCCGACCUGCACGAAUGGCGUAAUGAUGGCCAGGCUGUCUCCACCCGAGACUCAGUGAAAUUGAACUCGCUGUGAAGAUGCAGUGUACCCGCGGCAAGACGGAAAGACCCCGUGAACCUUUACUAUAGCUUGACACUGAACAUUGAGCCUUGAUGUGUAGGAUAGGUGGGAGGCUUUGAAGCGUGGACGCCAGUCUGCGUGGAGCCAACCUUGAAAUACCACCCUUUAAUGUUUGAUGUUCUAACGUUGGCCCCUUACCGGGGUUGCGGACAGUGUCUGGUGGGUAGUUUGACUGGGGCGGUCUCCUCCCAAAGCGUAACGGAGGAGCACGAAGGUUAGCUAAUCCUGGUCGGACAUCAGGAGGUUAGUGCAAUGGCAUAAGCUAGCUUGACUGCGAGCGUGACGGCGCGAGCAGGUGCGAAAGCAGGUCAUAGUGAUCCGGUGGUUCUGAAUGGAAGGGCCAUCGCUCAACGGAUAAAAGGUACUCCGGGGAUAACAGGCUGAUACCGCCCAAGAGUUCAUAUCGACGGCGGUGUUUGGCACCUCGAUGUCGGCUCAUCACAUCCUGGGGCUGAAGUAGGUCCCAAGGGUAUGGCUGUUCGCCAUUUAAAGUGGUACGCGAGCUGGGUUUAGAACGUCGUGAGACAGUUCGGUCCCUAUCUGCCGUGGGCGCUGGAGAAUUGAGGGGGGCUGCUCCUAGUACGAGAGGACCGGAGUGGACGCAUCACUGGUGUUCGGGUUGUCAUGCCAAUGGCACUGCCCGGUAGCUAAAUGCGGAAGAGAUAAGUGCUGAAAGCAUCUAAGCACGAAACUUGCCCCGAGAUGAGUUCUCCCUGAGACUUUAAGUCUCCUGAAGGAACGUUGAAGACGACGACGUUGAUAGGCCGGGUGUGUAAGCGCAGCGAUGCGUUGAGCUAACCGGUACUAAUGAACCGUGAGGCUUAACCUU
rnacentral:rRNA from 3 species